GCCAAGCUAGCCAAGUUGGUCACGGCGCAUGUCUGAAAAACAUGAAAUUGAGGUUCGAUUCCUCAGCUUGGCACCA
rnacentral:tRNA from 1 species